rnacentral:rRNA from 1 species
AUUGAACGCUGGCGGCAUGCCUUACACAUGCAAGUCGAACGGUAACGCGGGGCAACCUGGCGACGAGUGGCGAACGGGUGAGUAAUGCAUCGGAACGUGCCCAGUAGUGGGGGAUAGCCCGGCGAAAGCCGGAUUAAUACCGCAUACGACCUACGGGUGAAAGCGGGGGACCGUAAGGCCUCGCGCUAUUGGAGCGGCCGAUGUCAGAUUAGGUUGUUGGUGGGGUAAAAGCCUACCAAGCCGACGAUCUGUAGCUGGUCUGAGAGGACGACCAGCCACACUGGGACUGAGACACGGCCCAGACUCCUACGGGAGGCAGCAGUGGGGAAUUUUGGGCAAUGGGGGCAACCCUGAUCCAGCCAUGCCGCGUGCGGGAAGAAGGCCUUCGGGUUGUAAACCGCUUUUGUCAGGGAAGAAACGCUCUGGGCUAAUACCCCGGGGUAAUGACGGUACCUGAAGAAUAAGCACCGGCUAACUACGUGCCAGCAGCCGCAGUAAGAC